UAAAGGAGCACCAAGUGGCAACAGAAGAGACAGCACUGCGCUCAAUUUCUCAGGUUUGGGGCCCACCAGCGUGUCUGGUUGUCUUCCCAUCACUCCAUCGUCCACCGGGUCAGCGACAGCUGCUCUCUCUGCGUUACAUAAGGGAAGAGUCAGCGUUCAAACUCCGAGCACUCCUGAGCUCUACACUGCCCUCAAUCUAUCAUACAACUGCAGAGCCACAGAGGUUGAUCACCAGUCAGAGACAUGGGACGGCAGGGCAGACAGGAUAGUGCACACACCACGGGCUCCACACCUGGACUGGUCAUUUUAAUACACUGC